AAAUGUCCCCUUAGAGGACAGAGUUAGAGG
rnacentral:piRNA from 1 species